rnacentral:rRNA from 1 species
CCCCUAGACGUUCUGGGCUGCACGCGCGCUACAAUAAUACGCACAGCGAGUAUCAUCGAGCUCGAAAGGGCAAGGUAAACAAUAGAAAAGGUACUGUAAUGGUUAUAGAUCCUUGUAAUUAUUGAUCUUCAACGAGGAAUUCCUAGUAAGUAUGUGUCAUCAUCACGCACUGAUUACGUCCCUGCCCUUUGUACACACCGCCCGUCGCUCCUACCGAUUGGGUGAGCCGAUGAAACUCUCGGAUGUAGGCUAUUCAUAGCCCGCAGAAGAGAUUUGAAUCGUAGCGCUUAGAGGAAGGAGAAGUCGUAACA